AGAAUGAACGUUGGCGGCGUGGAUUAGGCAUGCAAGUCGUACGGGCCGCAAGGCCAGUGGCGCAAGGGUGAGUAAGGCGACGGUAACCAACCCCGCGAUUGGGUAUAGCCGCGGGAAACUGCGGGUAAUCCCCAGCGACGUCAUCGAAGGGCAUCCUUUGGUGACCAAAGCUCAGGCGUCGCGGGACGGGCUGUCGUGGUAUUAGCUUGUUGGCGGGGUAACGGCCCACCAAGGCUGUGAUGCCUACCGGGCGUGCGAGCGUGGCCCGGCACACUGGGACUGAGACACUGCCCAGACUCCUACGGGAGGCUGCAGUCGAGAAUCUUCGGCAAUGGGCGCAAGCCUGACCGAGCGACGCCGCGUGGAGGACGAAGGCCUUCGGGUUGUAAACUCCUGUCGAGGGGAAGAAGGGUGUCAAACCCUUGACUGAUCCCUGGAGGAAGCACGGGCUAAGUUCGUGCCAGCAGCCGC
rnacentral:rRNA from 1 species